GCCCGGCAUCCCGGGGGCGGGGAGUGGGACGGUGCCUCGCCGCGAGUGCCGAAGGCGGGGAACGGGGCGGGGAAUCUCUGUGCUUCCUCAGUCCCCAGGCCCUGCACCUGCAGGGCCGACCAGCUCCAGUCCGAGGUCCAAUCCUGAGUGGCCAAAAGCCGGAAACCCGGAGCUGGAAUUGGGUCUUGCACAAGCUGGACCACGGAGUGAGGCUACUUGAGAAGCAUCUUAAAGGGGGAGAGAGCAAGUUAAAUCUGAUUUCCACGCAGCUCUGUGGAUUCCGAAUGUCCACGGCAUGAUGUUAUCUCCAGUCCCACUUCCAAGUCGCUGCUGUUCCCUGUGUUUCCUGCACCACCACUCUCUCAGUUGCUCUACACUAAAAUUUGCUGUCAUCGUUGACUUCUCCCUCUCCUUCAUCCCCUACAAGUAUCAACAUAGACAAAUCCGAUCAAUAUAAUCAUCAGUGAAUAAAGCAAAUUGCAGGGCAUAUUCUUAAAGACAGACUUUCCACUUGCAGCAGCACCUACCUUGCAGAGAGCUAAGCUGAAGCCCGUGUUUAUCAUAGCGGAUUCUAACCAGCCAAAGCUGAUAAUGACUAAGAACUUGCAGGAGUUGCAGUAUGCCAGACCUUCAAUUUAAUUGAAGACUUUCCUGAACAAUUAAUAAGGAGACUUGUCUUAACCUGCAGGGAAUGGCUUUAGGGACGCAUUCUUUCCUAUGCAGGUGCAAGCCUAAAACCUUAAUUAGGAUCAUCCACGAUGAUCCUCGAGCCCUUCCCUCACCUUAUAUUUGAAGAGGCUGAACCUCAGAGAAUUAAAUUACCUACAGUCCUGGUCACUGGUAGAGCUAUUAUUUAAAGGAAGGUCUAAUGUUAAAGCCUACAUCCUUAACUCUACCAUAUGCUGCUUCUUGUAGUGUCGUUCCUCAACCAGAACACAUAGCUCUUCUGUGUAGGAAAAGUCCAUCAAAACGUCACAAAUUAAAGAAAUUGGUUUCUGCUCUAUUUCAAUUCGUACCAGAGUAAAUCAAUCAAUGAUUUGUGUUUGGGAAUGUUGCUAGCUGCCAUUAACGUUGUUAAGAGAUAGCUUAGCUUUUCACUGGGGGCCCACUGAGGUAUCAGAAUCCUGAAACACAAAUGUGUCAAAAGGGUGUGAUCAAGACCAUGUCAGGGAAUGUUAAGUUUUUAGUAUUUGGUCACUGAGGCCUAUCAGUAGGUUUGGGUGUUUUGUUUUGUUUUUCCCACAAUGAGGCUUUGAGGAAGAAUUGUGUCUGGUAGACAAACACAGGUACACAAACAAGUGUGUACUCACACAGCAAGAGCAGUAGAGAUCAUCUCCCACAACAGAAGAGCUCAUGAAGAAAGGGAAUUGAGCUUCAAUUUAAGCAUUAGUUUAUCAUUUUUGGAGCCUGAAUGUGUUGAACUUUACAAAUUAACAGGACCCUGAACAAAAAUGUAAAACACAAAUCCCAAGCUGCAGUCCGCCCAGGUAAUUCAUGUCUAUCAAGUGUCUACAAUACCAAUUUCUACAUCUUUGGGAGUAUUUUACAGGUUUGUUUGAAGAGCAAGGUCAAUACCUCUUUCCCCAAGAAAUAAAU